rnacentral:rRNA from 1 species
UUGGUGGGGUAAUGGCCCACCAAGCCCGUGAUCGGUAGCCGGCCUGAGAGGGUGAACGGCCACAUUGGAACUGAGACACGGUCCAAACUCCUACGGGAGGCAGCAGUGGGGAAUAUUGGGCAAUGGGGGGAACCCUGACCCAGCAACGCCGCGUGAAGGAAGAAGGUUUUCGGAUUGUAAACUUCUGUUCUUGGGGAAGAGUGAAAGACGGUACCCAAGGAGGAAGCCCCGGCUAACUACGUGCCAGCAGCCGCGGUAAUACGUAGGGGGCGAGCGUUGUCCGGAAUGAUUGGGCGUAAAGGGCGCGUAGGCGGCUUUGCAAGUCAGUAGUGGAAGUCCAUUUUUCAAGGAUGGAAGUGCUACAGAAACUGCGGAGCUUGAGUGCAGGAGAGGUUAUCGGAAUUCCCGGUGUAGCGGUGAAAUGCGUAGAGAUCGGGAGGAACACCAGUGGCGAAGGCGGGUAACUGGACUGCAACUGACGCUGAGGCGCGAAAGUGUGGGGAGCAAACAGGAUUAGAUACCCUGGUAGUCCACACUGUAAACGAUGAAUGCUAGGUGUAGGAGGUAUCGACCCCUUCUGUGCCGCAGUAAACAC